UGGUAAUAAGAAUAAAAAUGCAAAUUGUGAGUGGACUUGUGUUGUUUGUGUGGCAGCAAGAAAGAAGAUGAGAAGGAUGGUUGGCGGUGUCUCAACUGUGCUUCAUCUAGUCAUGCUCUCAAGGACUGCCCAAACCCUCACGACCAUGUUUCAAUUAGCAUGGCCCGCGAGCAGGUGAAGUUGAAAAGGAAAAUAUCUAAAGUUAUUCGUCAGCAAAAUCGGCCUCUAAAGCGCCGUUACCUCUGAGCCCUCCGCUCUUGUCAAGAUCAAACCUAGAUGUGGUGUGGUGUAUAUAUGCAGAGUCAAAUUCAUUUCACUCACAGAUCUCCACAUGGAACUAAGUUGAAUCUUCCUUUCGAAGUAGCUGAUGCUGAUGCGAUUGAUGAUGAAAUGUACUUGUGUGAAAAGAAGAAGAAGAAGAAGAAGAAGAAGAAGAAGAAGAAGAAGAAGAAGAAGAUGAGAACAUUUGUUAGCACUUGCAAUAUAUAUUACUUCCUCUGUCCCAUAAUGUAAGACAUUUACAAUAUGGAUGGAUCCAAUAUACUAAUACACCCCAAGAUCUAUCCUAGUCCUGACAAAAGUUUACAUGCAGCAUGACCAAUCACACGGCAACUGAGAUACUACUAGUUUUUAUUACGAAAUGUCUUUCCUCUGCAUAUA
rnacentral:lncRNA from 1 species